rnacentral:rRNA from 1 species
AAUGGAGGAAACUCUGAUGCAGCGAUGCCGCGUGAGUGAAAAAGGCCCUUGGGUUGUAAAGCUCUUUCGUCGGGGAAGAAAAUGACUGUACCCGAAUAAGAAGGUCCGGCUAACUUCGUGCCAGCAGCCGCGGUAAUACGAAGGGACCUAGCGUAGUUCGGAAUUACUGGGCUUAAAGAGUUCGUAGGUGGUUGAAAAAGUUGGUGGUGAAAUCCCAGAGCUUAACUCUGGAACUGCCAUCAAAACUUUUCAGCUAGAGUAUGAUAGAGGAAAGCAGAAUUUCUAGUGUAGAGGUGAAAUUCGUAGAUAUUAGAAAGAAUACCAAUUGCGAAGGCAGCUUUCUGGAUCAUUACUGACACUGAGGAACGAAAGCAUGGGUAGCGAAGAGGAUU